GAUGAACGCUGGCGGCGUGCCUAAUACAUGCAAGUCGAGCGAAUGAUGAGGAGCCUGCUCCUCUGAUUUAGCGGCGGACGGGUGAGUAACACGUGGGUAACCUGCCUGUAAGAUGGGGAUAACUCCGGGAAACCGGGGCUAAUACCGAAUAAUAAAAGAAGAAGCAUUUCUUCUUUUUGAAAGUUGGUUUCGGCUAACACUUACAGAUGGGCCCGCGGCGCAUUAGCUAGUUGGUGAGGUAACGGCUCACCAAGGCGACGAUGCGUAGCCGACCUGAGAGGGUGAUCGGCCACACUGGGACUGAGACACGGCCCAGACUCCUACGGGAGGCAGCAGUAGGGAAUCUUCGGCAAUGGGCGAAAGCCUGACCGAGCAACGCCGCGUGAGCGAGGAAGGCCUUCGGGUCGUAAAGCUCUGUUGUCAGGGAAGAACAAGUACGAGAGUAACUGCUCGUACCUUGACGGUACCUGACCAGAAAGCCACGGCUAACUACGUG
rnacentral:rRNA from 1 species